rnacentral:rRNA from 1 species
GAUGAACGCUGGCGGCGUGCCUAAUACAUGCGAGUCAAGCGAACAGAUGAGGAGCUUGCUCCUCUGACGUUAGCGGCGGACGGGUGAGUAACACGUGGAUAACCUACCUAUAAGACUGGGAUAACUUCGGGAAACCGGAGCUAAUACCGGAUAAUAUAUUGAACCGCAUGGUUCAAUAGUGAAAGACGGUUUUGCUGUCACUUAUAGAUGGAUCCGCGCCGCAUUAGCUAGUUGGUAAGGUAACGGCUUACCAAGGCAACGAUGCGUAGCCGACCUGAGAGGGUGAUCGGCCACACUGGAACUGAGACACGGUCCAGACUCCUACGGGAGGCAGCAGUAGGGAAUCUUCCGCAAUGGGCGAAAGCCUGACGGAGCAACGCCGCGUGAGUGAUGAAGGUCUUCGGAUCGUAAAACUCUGUUAUUAGGGAAGAACAAAUGUGUAAGUAACUAUGCACGUCUUGACGGUACCUAAUCAGAAAGCCACGGCUAACUACGUG